GACGAACGCUGGCGGCGUGCUUAACACAUGCAAGUCGAGCGGUAAGGCCCUUCGGGGUACACGAGCGGCGAACGGGUGAGUAACACGUGGGUGACCUGCCUCUAGCUCUGGGAUAAGCCUGGGAAACUGGGUCUAAUACCGGAUAUGACUCCACGGCGCAUGUUGUGGGGUGGAAAGCCUUGUGUGGCUAGAGAUGGGCCCGCGGCCUAUCAGCUUGUUGGUGGGGUGAUGGCCUACCAAGGCGACGACGGGUAGCCGGCCUGAGAGGCGACCGGCCACACUGGGACUGAGACACGGCCCAGACUCCUACGGGAGGCAGCAGUGGGGAAUCUUGCGCAAUGGGCGAAAGCCUGACGCAGCGACGCCGCGUGAGGGAUGACGGCCU
rnacentral:rRNA from 1 species